rnacentral:rRNA from 1 species
GACGAACGCUGGCGGCGUGCUUAACACAUGCAAGUCGAACGGAAAGGCCCUGCUUUUGUGGGGUGCUCGAGUGGCGAACGGUUGAUUAACACGUGAGUAACCUGCCCUUGACUUUGGGAUAACUUCAGGAAACUGGGGCUAAUACCGGAUAGGAGCUCCUUCUGCAUGGUGGGGGUUGGAAAGUUUCGGCGGUUGGGGAUGGACUCGCGGCUUAUCAGCUUGUUGGUGGGGUAGUGGCUUACCAAGGCUUUGACGGGUAGCCGGCCUGAGAGGGUGACCGGCCACAUUGGGACUGAGAUACAGCCCAGACUCCUACGGGAGGCAGCAGUGGGGAAUAUUGCACAAUGGGCGGAAGCCUGAUGCAGCAACGCCGCGUGCGGGAUGACGGCCUUCGGGUUGUAAACCGCUUUCGCCUGUGACGAAGCGUGAGUGACGGUAAUGGGUAAAGAAGCACCGGCUAACUACGUG